AUGCCGGGAUGCUGCACAGGGAUGCCUCACAGGGCAGGAGAGGUAGCAAGCCAGGAUGUGCGCUCACCUGCUGACCAGCUUCAGUCCAAAGAAGUGCUAGACACUAACGGUACCACUGAGUCAGUCCCACCUGCAGGCAAGGGGUGGCCUUUGUGCCCUGUGCAAAACAAUCUGGGGGCAGAGUAUAUCCCCUCCCUGGAAGACAGCUCCUGUUUGGUCAAGGGCAAUUUUCCAAAGAGAGGAACAGCUCCACACCCGUGCUUCAUUAUUGCCGAGAUCGGCCAGAACCACCAGGGAGACCUGGACCUGGCCAAGCGCAUGAUCCGUACCGCCAAGGACUGUGUGGGGCUGACUGUGCCAAGUUCCAGAAGAGUGAGCUGGAAUUCAAGUUUAAUCGGAAAGCCUUGGAGAGGCCGUACACUUCGAAGCAUUCCUAGGGAAAGACAUACAGGGAGCACAAACGGCACCUGGAGUGCAGCCAUGACCAGUACCGGGAGCUGCAGAGAUAUGCCGAGGAGGUGGAGAUCUUCUUCACUGCCUCCGGCAUGGACGAGGUCUCCCAGUGGUGAUCUCCAGCGGGAUGCAGUCGAUGGACACCAUGAAGCAGGUCUAUCAGAUCGUGAAGCCCCUCAACCCCAACUUCUGCUUCCUCCAGUGCACCAGCGCCUACCCGCUGCAGCCCAAGGACGUCAACCUGUGGGUCAUCUCGGAAUACCAGAAGGUCUUUCCUGACAUUCCUGUAGGGUAUUCUGGGCAUGAAACAGUCAUAGCCAUAUCUGUGGCUGCAGUGGCUCUGGGGGCCAAGGUAUUGGAACGUCACAUCACGUUGGACAAGACCUGGAAGGGGAGUGACCACUCAGCCUCACUGGACCCUGGAGAACUGGCCGAGCUGGUUCGGGCUGUGCGCCUGGUGGAGAGGGCCCUGGGCUCCCCAACCAAGUGGCUGCUGCCCUGUGAGACGGCCUGCAAUGAAAAGCUAGGCAAGUCUGUGGUGGCCAAAGUGAAAAUUCCAGAAGGCACCAUUCUGACACUGGACAUGCUUACUGGGAAAGUGCGCGAACCCAAAGUCUAUCCUCCUGAGGACAUCUUUAAUCUGGUGGGCAAGAAGGUCCUGGUCACUAUUGAAGAAGAUGAUAGCAUCAUGGAAGAAUCUAUAGAAAAUCAUGGCAAAAAAGUCAAGUCUUAAAAUAAAGUGCUGUUGUCUAAAAAAAAAAAA